rnacentral:tRNA from 1 species
CGGGGUGUGGCUCAGUUUGGUAGAGCGCUUGGUUCGGGACCAAGAGGCCGCGCGUUCAAGUCGCGCCACUCCGACCA